UCGUACUCUCCUGUAACGCCGGCACCCUUCCUCGACGUCCAUCGCCAGCCAGAAAUUGCCUCCACCGGCAGCGGAGCUCCAAAUGAGCCCAAAAUUUCACCACAAACCCUCCUCCCUCUCCGCUUUCCAACCCCCAUAACCAUUUCCCUUAUAACACAACCCACUUGUUCGAAUCUUUCAUCAAAAUUUCGGUCAAAAUAUAAACUCAAUCAAAUGAGCCCAAAUCAAUACCAGAUAGUCCUCUGACCUUUCUUAUCUCGAAUCCUCGGUCAAAACCCUUCGAAUCACACCGAAGUUCCACAAAUUGGGAUCUAAGGUCACACAGUUCCGGGUUAGUGUUGAAGAUUUUCAAAGCGAUCGAUUUCUAGUUAAUAUCAUAGGUUUAUUUCUAGUGAAAUAGUUGUAUAAUAUUAACCGAAAGUCGAUUCCAGAUGUUUUCUCAUAAAAUGGCUGAAUUCCAGUAAGAUUUUCCUUUCUUCAGUCUGAUUCAUUGUUUGUUUGGUUCAAUCGAGCAUCAUUUUAAUUUCCAGUACUAGUUUAAGUUCGUCUCUGAUUGGUAUGAAAGUUUAGGACAAUAUUUUAGGGUUAAUUCUCAUUUUUCUCCUUUUUUUAAAAUUUUUUUCUGAUUUUGAAUGUUCAAAUGAUAAUUGGUCGUUAGUACAAUUAAGUUUUCGCUUUGUUCUGUUCAUGUGAAGUUGGAUUUGGAAUUGGACUUAGUUUGAUUUCAGUUUAUGCUUUUGUUAAAGCCUUAUCAGUUGGUUAAUUGGUCAUUUAAUAUUAGUGUUAAUUGGUUGUUUGGAUAUAGCUGAAUAAAUCAUUUGUUAGUUGACUUUAGUUAGAUUUUAGCUAGGGAUAAAUGGGUUUGUGUAGUUAACUGAAGUUUGAAAUUUGAGGGGGUAAAUAAGGGUAGUUUGGGCAUAGAAAAGGGUAGUUUUAUUAAGAUUUGUAAUUUCAAAAUAAAGACAAGGAUAAUAUAGGUAUUAUAUAGCUAAAAAGAACACCCUAGGGCCUUCUAGAAUAGGAUUUUAGUGUACAUUUCAACACAAU
rnacentral:lncRNA from 1 species